rnacentral:rRNA from 1 species
GGAAUCUUGCACAAUGGAGGAAACUCUGAUGCAGCGAUGCCGCGUGAGUGAAGAAGGCCUUUGGGUUGUAAAGCUCUUUUGUAGGGGAAGAUAAUGACUGUACCCUAAGAAUAAGGUCCGGCUAACUUCGUGCCAGCAGCCGCGGUAAUACGAAGGGACCUAGCGUAGUUCGGAAUUACUGGGCGUAAAGCGCGCGUAGGCCGUUGAGUUAGUUAAUUGUGAAAUCCCAAAGCUUAACUUUGGAACUGCAAUUAAAACUGCUCGACUAGAGUUUGAUAGAGGAAAGCGGAAUACAUAGUGUAGAGGUGAAAUUCGUAGAUAUUAUGUAGAACACCAGUUGCGAAGGCGGCUUUCUGGAUCAACACUGACGCUGAGGCGCGAAAGUAUGGGUAGCAGAGGAUUAGAUACCCUCGUAGUCCAUACCAUAAACGAUGAUUGCUAGAUGUUGGAAAUUUAUUUUCAGUAUCGCAGCUAACGCAUUAAGCAAUCCGCCUGGGGAGUACGACCGCAAGGUUAAAACUCAAAUGAAUUGACGG